UACGGAGGGUGCAAGCGUUAUCCGGAUUCACUGGGUUUAAAGGGUGCGUAGGAGGGCAGGUAAGUCAGUGGUGAAAUCUUCGAGCUUAACUCGGAAACUGCCGUUGAUACUAUCUGUCUUGAAUACCGUGGAGGUGAGCGGAAUAUGUCAUGUAGCGGUGAAAUGCUUAGAUAUGACAUAGAACACCAAUUGCGAAGGCAGCUCGCUACACGAAUAUUGACGCUGAGGCACGAAAGCGUGGGGAUCAAACAGG
rnacentral:rRNA from 1 species